rnacentral:rRNA from 1 species
AGAGAGAGACAUGCGCGCAUAUCAAUAAGCGGAGGAAAAGAAACUAACUAGGAUUCCCUCAGUAACGGCGAGUGAAGCGGGAAGAGCUCAAAUUUGAAAUCUUCAAGGUUCUACCUUGACGAAUUGUAGUUUAAAGAAGUGUUUUCUGUUGGAGUUUUGGUAAAAGUUCUUUGGAAUAGGACAUCCAUAGAGGGUGAGAAUCCCGUAUUUGACCAUUAUUUCCAGCUUUGUGAUACACUUUCAAAGAGUCGGAUUGUUUGGGAAUGCAGUCCAAAAUGGGUGGUAAAUUUCAUCUAAAGCUAAAUAUUGGCGAGAGACCGAUAGCGAACAAGUACCGUGAGGGAAAGAUGAAAAGAACUUUGAAAAGAGAGUUAAACAGUACGUGAAAUUGUCAAAAGGGAAGCGUUUGACACCAGUGUUGUUUUCUCGAAAAUCAAUUAAAAAAGGCAGGAUUUUGUGUUGUAUUGACUUUAUCAGCUUUCUGCACUCUUUUCCUUGUCUUUUUUAAUGCACUUUUCGUUUAACAAGUCAACAUCAAUUUCUUUUGUUGUAAAAGGGUCAUUGGAAGGUGGCUUUCUUUUCGGAGAAAGUGUUUAUAGCCUUUGGCCUCUGCAAUCGGAGAGAUUGAGGUCUGCAGCGUAGAUCCUUCGGGGUUAGAUACAUUUGUGCUAAGUUAUAGCCUUUCAUAGACAACUUGUUGACUAUGAUCAGUCAUGUAGCUUACUCGCUUAUGCUAUUUUACCUACGCUUAGGAUGUUGAUGUGAUACUGCGAGCA